rnacentral:rRNA from 1 species
UGGCGGCGCGUAAUAUUUGCGACAAUGGGCGAAAGCCUGAUCCAGCCACCCCGCGUGUGUGAAGAAGGCCUGCGGGUUGUAAAGCACUUUCUUUGGGAACGAAAUAUGCCGACCUAGUACGUCGGUAAGCUGACGUUACCCAAAUAAAAAGCACCGGCUAACUCUGUGCCCGCAGCCGCGAUAA